CAAGUCGAGCGGCAGCGGAAAGUAGCUUGCUACUUUGCCGGCGAGCGGCGGACGGGUGAGUAAUGUCCGGGAAACUGCCUGAUGGAGGGGGAUAACUACUGGAAACGGUAGCUAAUACCGCAUAACGUCGCAAGACCAAAGAGGGGGACCUUCGGGCCUCUUGCCAUCAGAUGUGCCCAGAUGGGAUUAGCUAGUAGGUGGGGUAACGGCUCACCUAGGCGACGAUCCCUAGCUGGUCUGAGAGGAUGACCAGCCACACUGGAACUGAGACACGGUCCAGACUCCUACGGGAGGCAGCAGUGGGGAAUAUUGCACAAUGGGCGCAAGCCUGAUGCAGCCAUGCCGCGUGUAUGAAGAAGGCCUUCGGGUUGUAAAGUACUUUCAGCGGGGAGGAAGGCGAUAAGGUUAAUAACCUUGUCGAUUGACGUUACCCGCAGAAGAAGCACCGGCUAACUCCGUGCCAGCAGCCGCGGUAAUACGGAGGGUGCAAGCGUUAAUCGGAAUUACUGGGCGUAAAGCGCA
rnacentral:rRNA from 1 species